AUGUGCUUGCGAAAUUUCGAAAGUUUGAAGUGGAUAGGAGGUGCAUGGCAUCGUUGCGACCGUUGCGAGAAGUUGAGGGAUCCAUCAUUGACUGUUUUUCUAUACUAAUGAACAAGUACGAACGUGAUAGUCGAUUACCUGACCAACCUCGUGUUUGGUACAUGCCCACUCGCAUCUCG